UACGUAGGGGGCGAGCGUUGUCCGGAAUCAUUGGGCGUAAAGCGCGUGUAGGCGGCCCGGUAAGUCCGCUGUGAAAGUCCAGGGCUCAACCCUGGGAUGCCGGUGGAUACUGUCGGGCUCGAGUCCGGAAGAGGCGAGUGGAAUUCCUGGUGUAGCGGUGAAAAUGCGCAGAUAUCAGGAGGAACACCGGUGGCGAAGGCGGAUCUCUGGGCCUUACCUGACGCUCAGGCGCGAAAGCUAGGGGAGCGAACUGG
rnacentral:rRNA from 1 species